rnacentral:lncRNA from 1 species
AAGUCCUUCUUAACUAACAUCAAGCAUUUUCACUCAGCACUUCUACUAGCAUCACUCACUCAUUUCACUCUUUCUAUCCAAAACCGAGCCCUGUAGUGAUGUGAGGAGAGGAGGGGAUGACGGGAGGAGGAGGAGGAGAGGGAGAGGGAGGGCUGAGGGGAGUGUGAGGAAACCCUCGACUCCGGGACAGAGAGGCUGACAGGCGGUGAAAGCCCUCCACCACUGGCUGCUGCUGCUGCUGCUGCUUUCUGUGAUUGGCUCAGUGCGGUGAGUCUCGGGCUCGUGGGGAGAGACGGGAUCACCAAGAACGCAUCGUGGUUUGAGGACUCUCAGCAGCUCACAGGCUCGCGCCCUCCCGCCGCCGCCGCCGCUGUGUUUCAGCGCUCUAUUGUCUCCAAACACCGAGAGAAAAGUGGAUCCUUAUUCCAGGUGUAUCAGUGGAGUUGGGCGAGGAAGACUCCACAUAAGAUGAGGAAGAGCAGAAGUGUGCUGAAUGUGUCGCCUGAGGUGAGUGAACAUCACGCUAAUUCAGGAACACAAACAGUAUCAAGUGCAGAUCUUUGCAGAAAAAACGAGGAAGACUUUUGGGGUCAAUUUGUGGAACUGUGUGUGAAAGUUGUAGAAAGAAGAAACAGAGAGGAG